AUUGAACGCUGGCGGCAGGCUUAACACAUGCAAGUCGAGCGAGCGGCGGACGGGUGAGUAAUGUCUGGGAAACUGUCUGCUGGAGGGGGAUAACUACUGGAAACGGUAGCUAAUACCGCAUCCCAUCAGAUGUGCCUAGAUGGGAUUAGCUAGUAGGUGGUGUAAUGGCCAACCUAGGCGACGAUCCCUAGCUGGUCUGAGAGGAUGACCAGCCACACUGGAACUGAGACACGGCCCAGACUCCUACGGGAGGCAGCAGUGGGGAAUAUUGCACAAUGGGCGCAAGCCUGAUGCAGCCAUGCCGCGUGUGUGAAGAAGGCCUUCGGGUUGUAAAACACUUUCAGCGAGUAGGCGUUACUCGCAGAAGAAGCCCCGGCUAACUCCGUGCCAGCAGCCGCGGUAAUAC
rnacentral:rRNA from 1 species